rnacentral:lncRNA from 1 species
GUGUAUAUAUAUAUAGAGGUAUUAGUUUCACUUAGUUGCAUCUUCUCACACAAAUCUUCUGGUGACGCAUUAAAAAGUUUUUUCCUAAAAAAUUAAAGUCAUCGUUAAGGCCCGUAGCAUUACAAGCAUUAUUCCUAAUCUUCACGGGACUAAGACAUUUUCAACGAAGAUUAUGGCUUUUUCCACGUACCCGAUCGCGUACGCUAAAUGAGGGCCCGCCAAACCAGGUUUUUCUUUGGACCAUAAAUCAGGGUAGGUGGUGUGUCAAUUCAAGUUUUCAGGUGGACCGAGUAAAAGCUUUCAUUUUCCCAUCAGAGGAAUCGUUUGAAGUUCUUUGACGGCUCGUUUGGUUCGAAAAAGUAAUGAGAUACCUCUUAUUUGGUUGAAGUUUUCAAAUGAGAGAGACGAAA